UCUCAUACAUGAGUAACAUGUUGAAUAGCUUUUAAUAUACAGGUGUUACAUGACAAAAGCGUGAAACUCUAUAAAAAAUAAUGCUUAUAUCAUGGAAUAAAAAGAAACUGCAAAGAUAUGGCAUUUUCAUGGACUUCAAAGACUUCUCUGUGCUGCGUAGCCCGGGAACAUCCCGCACAAGGUUAUGGCUGGUAGUCACUGAUUGUCUUCAUUGAUGGCUGCUGUAGAAAAUUCUUAUUUAACAGCUUCGAGUUUACAAAGGAAUAUUGACUAUUUAGAAGAUGUAUUUAAUUAAGGUAUAGACAUGGAAGACCUAGGAUAAUAAGACCCUUAAAUAUAAAGUUGAAGGACUAGGUGAGUCAUGAAUGAGGCCUAAGAAUACAGACUACUGUGUAGAAUGAUGGAAUAUUUUGGAGAAGCACAACUUAAAAAAG